rnacentral:miRNA from 3 species
AGGAUCUUUAGUCACUAGCUGC